ACGGAGUGACAGCGCGGAGGAGGAUUACGUGUGCCAACUGCUGGAUUUCCCAAGUUUGCCUGCCCUUGCCUAGGUGCGAGCUGAGGUGUGUGAGUGUCGGGGACUGAUGGGUUUGGGGAGGCCUCAGCCCGGACGGCCCUCCGCGAUCUGGGUCUGAAAACACGAGCCCCCGUCUCUUAGGAGGCGCGGGAAGGAAGCUUUAAAGUCAUACUAUAGUUGCUGAAGGAGAAUUGAGAAAUUGAAUAUAUUCAGGUACAUGAUAACUUCUGUAAAGAAAGAUGGGAUCAGACUUAUGUUGAAAAAGGAAGCUGGUAAAAUUCUCUGCUAGUGAUUCAUGUACCACUAUGAAGCAUUUGAGUCAAUGGUUAUGGAUCUCAAUCGACUCCACCAUUUUCCAGGUCUCAGAACGGCUAGCGAUUGGAUGAACAUUCUUUGAUGUAACUGUUCUAUUAAUUCAUUAUAUUAGUGGUGUAAAACUUUCUGGUUCUUGUUUGAUCCAACUUUUAUUUUCAUUGUCCAUUAUUUUAUUGUCCAUGAAGAUGACAAAACCUUUUCUACAUUUUUCUGGCUUCAGAACUUCUCUUACCUCUGAUUGCUUUGACUCUAAAGAUGC
rnacentral:lncRNA from 1 species